UGUAGCUCAGUGGUAGAGCACUUGCUUCGCAAGUGUGAGGCACUGGGUUCGAUCCUAGCA
rnacentral:tRNA from 1 species